CCCUUAGAUGUUCUGGGCCGCACGCGUGCUACACUGAGUGGAUCAGCGGGUCAGGUUGCGCGAAAGUGUUUCCUAAUCUUUAAAUCCGCUCGUGAUGGGGAUUGACGGUUGCAAUUUUCCGUCAUGAACGAGGAAUACCUUGUAAGCGCAGGUCAUCAUCCCGCGCUGAAUACGUCCCUGCCCUUUGUACACACCGCCCGUCGCUCCUACCGAUUGAGUGGUCCGGUGAGGCUUUGGGAUCUGGGCGGAAAGAGCGUUUCGCUGUUUCUGCCCGGAAAACUCAGUCGAACCUUAUCAUUUAGAGGAAGGAGAAGUCGUAACA
rnacentral:rRNA from 1 species